rnacentral:rRNA from 1 species
UGGGGAAUAUUGCACAAUGGAGGGAACUCUGAUGCAGCGACGCCGCGUGAACGAAGAAGGCUUUCGAGUCGUAAAGUUCUUUUAUAUGGGAAGAUAAUGACGGUACCAUAAGAAAAAGCCCCGGCUAACUACGUGCCAGCAGCCGCGGUAAUACGUAGGGGGCUAGCGUUGUCCGGAAUCACUGGGCGUAAAGGGUUCGCAGGCGGAAAUGCAAGUCAGGUGUAAAAGGCAGUAGCUUAACUACUGUAAGCAUUUGAAACUGCAUAUCUUGAGAAGAGUAGAGGUAAGUGGAAUUUUUAGUGUAGCCGUGAAAUGCGUAGAUAUUAAAAAGAAUACCGGUGGCGAAGGCGACUUACUGGGCUCAUUCUGACGCUGAGGAACGAAAGCGUGGGUAGCAAACAGG